ACCAUAGAGCUAUCCGGCCGAAUCAAUCCCCCCUGCUCGUCCAUCAUUCGCCU
rnacentral:ribozyme from 1 species